rnacentral:rRNA from 1 species
GACGAAGGGGGCUAGCGUUGUUCGGAAUUACUGGGCGUAAAGCGCGUGUAGGCGGUUGUUCAAGUCAGGUGUGAAAGCCUUGAGCUCAACUCAAGAAAUGCACUUGAUACUGGAUGACUAGAGGACCGGAGAGGAUAGUGGAAUUCCCAGUGUAGUGGUGAAAUACGUAGAGAUUGGGAAGAACACCAGUGGCGAAGGCGGCUAUCUGGACGGUUUCUGACGCUAAGGCGCGAAAGCGUGGGGAUCAAACAGG